AGCAGCCGCGGUAAUUCCAGCUCCAAUAGCGUAUAUUAAAGUUGUUGCAGUUAAAAGCUCGUAGUUGAAUUUCGGGAUUGACACAUCGGUCGUGCCUUAAGGGGUAUGAACUGGUGUAGUCAAUUUCUCACCUUCUGGAGAACCGCGAUGCCCUUAAUUGGGUGUCGCGGGGAACCAGGACCUUUACUUUGAAAAAUUAGAGUGUUUAAAGCAGGCAUUUUGCUUGAAUACAUUAGCAUGGAAUAAUAAAAUAGGACGGCAUGAUUCUAUUUUGUUGGUUUCUAGGAUCACCGUAAUGAUUAAUAGGGAUAGUUGGGGGCAUUAGUAUUCAAUUGUCAGAGGUGAAAUUCUUGGAUUUAUUGAAGACUAACUACUGCGAAAGCAUUUGCCAAGGAUGUUUUCAUUAAUCAAGAACGAAAGUUAGGGAUCGAAGACGAUCAGAUACCGUCGUAGUCUUAACCAUAAACUAUAGCCGACUAGGAAUCAGACGAUGUUAAUUUUUAAUGUACUGUUGCUACUU
rnacentral:misc_RNA from 1 species